rnacentral:tRNA from 1 species
GCCUUUAUAGCUCAGUGGUAGAGCGUUGGUCUCGUACGUACGAUUGGAAAACCAAAGGCCGAGAGUUCAAUCCUCUCUGAAGGCA